GACGAACGCUGGCGGCGUGCCUAAUACAUGCAAGUCGAACGCAGUGGGGACGGGUGAGUAACACGUGGGUAACCUCCCAUCAGAGGGGAUAACACUUGGAAACAGGUGCUAAACCGAUACUGAUGGAUGGACCCGCGGUGCAUUAGCUAGUUGGUGAGGUAACGGCUCAGCAAGGCCACGAGGCAUAGCCGACCUGAGGGGGUGAUCGGCAACACGGGAACUGGGACACGGCACAGACUCCUACAGAAGGCAGCGGUAGGGAAUCUUCGGCAAUGGACGAAAGUCUGACCGAGGAGCGCCGCGUGAGGGAAGAAGGUUUUCGGAACGGAAAACUCUGUUGUUAGAGAAGGGGUAUCUAACCAGAAAACCACGGCUAGCUACGUGCCAGCAGCCGCGGUAAUAG
rnacentral:rRNA from 1 species